CCUUUUUUUUUUUAGUGUUUUCUAUAGUUCCAUGUAUCUACAACCCUUAGGAACAUCAGAAUCAUGUGUGUGGGGGUGCUUAUUAAAUAAAACAGUUCCUGGAGCUCACUCCCAGUGACUGCCAGUCUGAUGAUUAGGGUCUCAGCUAGGACCUAGGUUUGCAAAAUCUCCCAGCUGAUCCCAUGCAGCCAGCCUGGCUCUGUCUCUGGCGCUGGGAGCUGUGUUGGGAACUAGUCUUUGGUGCUAUUCUGCUGAUACUUCAAGUUGGGCUCUUUGACUCCGUCUUGUAUUGUCAUCACUUAUAUUCAGGUCUGUUCUUCCCCUGGAUUGUAAACUCCUUGAAGUCUGGGUCAUCUCAGCUCAUGAGCUGAGCUUUCAGUGGGUGCUCAGUGGAACAGGUGCUGAAUGGAGUCAGGCUGUAGGGAGGCCAGCGUGUGUUGGAAGGAAAGUACAUGUACAGCCAACUUCCUUGAGGGUUCGUUCUUUUGCAUCAGGGUGUCUCAAACUGCUGCCCUUAAAACACCUGUAAGAGAAGCAUCCAGGGGGCUUGCUCGGUCUGCAUGCAGACCCUUUAGAAUCAGAGUCAGAAUCCCUGGGGCUGGAGCCACAAAAUGACAUGACAUUUCAACGAGUUUGUCAUCAUGUGAGAGAGAAUAGGUGAGUAUUUGGAUACCUAUAAUACAAAGUAGAUUCAAAAAGAAUGACUUGAUUAUUUUAAAUGUUGUGUUUUUAAAAAUUUAAUACAGAAAAGGCUGGGCAUGGUGGCUCAUGCCUGUAAUCUUAGCACUUUGGGAGGCCAAGGCCGGUGGAUCAUUUGAGGUCAGGAGUUCAAGACCAGCCUGGCCAACAAGGUGAAACCCCAUCUCUACUAAAAAUAUAAAAAUUAGCCAGGCAGUAGUGGUGCUUGCCUGUAAUCCCAGCUACGUGGGAGGCUGAGGAAGGAGAAUUGCUUAAGCCUGGGAGGCAGAGAUUUGGUGAGCUGAGAUCGUACCACUGCACUCCAAUGUGGAUGACGAUUGUUUAACCACCACCAACAUGGGUUCUGAGUCCAACUAUUAAUAUGAAGAUGACAUCCAUUGUGGUCUUGUACAUUUUGUUGCCUUUCUGGGGUGAAGGACAUUGGUGACCAUUUGUUUCCUCUGGAGCGGUCGAUUGGUCAUGAACUUCCUGGUCCAGAUAGUUGCUGUGUCAUUCAUCAUGGUGGUUGAUCCUCAGGUAGUUAGGGAGGAAAAUAAACAAGAAGUUCUAUAUUUAAAACCACGUUUCAAUUUUAGACCUGA
rnacentral:lncRNA from 1 species